UCUUCCUCCUCGUCGCUUAUCGUGCACAUUUAGCGUUAAUUCAAUUUAAUAUUCCUCAUGUACAUAUGCCGAAAAACAAAAGAAAGCUUGCUCUUAGAGCUAUAAAUUGAACUUGCCACAUUAAGCAACGCACAAGGGUUUUAGUUAGAGAAGAACAUGUGCAUGCAAUUUCGCAAAUCAUAACAUCAUAAUAAAGUAACUGCGCAGUUUAAACAUUCAUUAUGUAUGUACCACAUCCACUACUCAUCAUUAAAGGUACUGAGAAGUAGGCCUCCCUCUCAAGUACCGUGACCGGCCGACCCGAUAGACGGCUCACAGUCACCUCUGUGCACAAAAUCCCGCUUGUGGCAGGACCGAAUUCGUCUCAACAGUAGAGGGUAACACACAAGUCAUUAUUAACAAAACUCGGCAAGUCAAUUAGUUUCAAGCAUAACAUUAACUCAAUUCAUAAUCAUAAAUAUCAUAUCAUUUAAGAAAGCUCGUAUAAUAGGUAUAUCAAAAUAAUGCCCACCUGACAAACUUAGCUUACUCUCGUAGUACUUGGACGAUCUUACCUCCGUCCUCUGCUCGUAUCUUCAGAUGUCACAAUGUCGGAGUGGUUCAUGAGAUAAGAUAAACCUCAGUUAGAAACUCAUUUACUAAAAUCCAAUCUCGUCUCAAACUUUAACUUAUCACUCAUCUUCUAUUUACCCAAAUAAAUCUCAAUCCCUAGGUAUACUUAACUCCUAAGGAUUCACAAGUCCUACUCUCGACUUAACACUCAACUCGAAUUAAACCCAUAGCAAUCAAGCACAUAAACAAGCAUAAUCACAUAAACAUAUAAAUUCACACAUAGACAUGUCACAAACAAACAUCAUUCUGCACUGACUCGAUUUAAAGACUUCACCAGAUUCGGUACAGAGCUCCACUGGAGUCAUGACCUAUACCAUUUAAAACCUCUUUGAGUCUAGUUUCAUUCAAAAAAAGUAGGAUGAAAAACUCCAAGUAGUUUAGGAGAUAUGACUGUUUUCCUACAGUCUACCAUAUUCGGCAGUUUUGAGCAAUUGAAAACUUUGAUUUUUGAAAAAUAGUAAACGUUGCCGAAAAGGCUUGAAAUUUGGUGGGUACUUAUAUAAGACACUCAUGUCUUAAAAAUAAAAAUUUAGGCUCCAAAAAGUUAGGGAAGGACACUGGAAGAGGUGACUCUAUUGGAUACUCACCGAACAUUUCGGCAGAAGGUAGCAGUUUUAGUUUUCUAUUUUAUAAAAAUAGUAAACAAAGUCCAAUUGACUUGAAAUUUUACCGGUAUGCUCCUGACUCUUAUUUAAUCUUACCAUAAAAUUUUCAAGGUCUUUGGGUAACAAGAACCCAACGAAACAGUAGGUAUAAAAGGUCAUAAAAUGACUCCAAACUUGAACAUACAAGCAAUUAUACCUAGACUUUGGAUUUCUUCGAUGCAAAAUUCUCAAAAAUUCAAAUUAAGCUCACAUAAUACACAAUAACAUAAAUACAUAAUCAUAUAACUCAAGAAAAUUCAAACAUCGACUUCCCCUUUUUCUCCCUACAUUCGGCCAACACAUAGGUCAUUAGGGGUUGGUCCGUUUCGUCUCAUAUUGCAUAUAUAAGCUCAAAUAAUCAUCAAAAAGCCACAUAUAGACAUGCUUGGCUCAUAACUCAUCUUAUAUACAUGAUCUCAUGUAUGCACGCAAACUAAACUCGGAAAAUUUUCACAAAUCAACAUCAUUAACCAAUUUAAUCAUGCUUUCUCCUUGCUAGUAGUCUAACUAUCAUAUAAACAUCAUCAAUUCAAGUAUUUAUUUCAUUACUCAAAAGUUCCCAAUUACUAGCAAACUAAACUUAACCAAUUUUAGGCAUUCUUGACAAUUAACCAAAUUGAUCCCUAAUUAUCAUUUCUAUCAUGCUUAAUAACAAUUAAACUUAGCCAAUUUAAUCAAUUAACACAUAGAUCACAAAGUCCCAAUUUUUAACAAACUAAACUUUUUGAAAAUUUGUAAACAUGCAUAAAUCAUUAAUCCAACCUUAGAUCUAUCAAAUUGACACACUUAAUAGCAUAAAUAAACAAUCAAUUAGUAAAUUAAACCAUAGAAUCAAUUUUACCCAAAUUACAUCAAACUAACUCAUAUCAAAAAUUACUAAUCAAUUUCAACCAUCAAUCCAAUCCAUCAAAUCUCAUAUAAACACUCUCAAUAUCAUAUAUCAUCCAUCAAUUCAUCAAUCAAGCCUCAAAUACAAAACUUCCCAAAUUUACACAAACUAAACUAUUUCAAAUCUCAUAUCUCUUUUUAAUUCAAUUAUCUACACAUGGAAAUAGACUAAUUAGGCACCCAAUAGUAUUUAAAUAACAUCAAUUUAAGAAAAGGAAAAGAAAAAAUUUUUUUGAAGGGUAAAAGACCCAAAUUUUCGAAAAUCACAAAGAAGGGAUAGGGGUGUUUUCUUGCUUGAUCUAUCCAUAUAUACACAUAUACAACACAUUUAAGUCUAGAUCUAAAAGGAUUCAUCACUUACUCAAGGAUUUGAACAAAAAUAAAAAUCUCCUCUUUUGCUUCAAAUCUUGAAAACUCCUCCAAAAUUUGCUCUUGAUUCAAGGCUAUAGAUGUUUAAAGCUUGAAUUUGAUGGAGAUCUAUGGUGUAGAGAUGAUCUUAGAAGCUUGGAAAGAUCAUCAAUGGUGGUAGAGAGAGAAAAGAAAGUGAGAAGGAAGAGAGAAAUGAGAGGGAUCGAAAAUGAGGGGGAGGGAAGAGAGAGAGAUGUUUUGUUUAAAGCUUAAACUUGCUCACUAAGCUACUAAUUUAGCUUCUCCAACACUUCACACAUGCAACUUGCCCACUAAGUCAUCCAAUUAAUUAAUGCAAAAUUAAACUCUCACAUGUGGCUUGCUAAAUACUACACUAAUUAAUGAGAUCAAGCUUGUAGGAAAAGCUAAGUUAGGGAAAAUCACUUACUAAUUAAAAACCAUAAAUCAAUAUCAUCUAAUAGUGUGAUCCAAUAAUUAAUCAUAAUUAGAAUACACCUAAUUCACAUCACAUCUAGCUCAUUAAAAUAAAUUCCAAUAAAUUCCAAUAGGAGAAAUUUAUAAUAUAAAAGUGAGAUUACAAUUCACCAUUUUUUUUUAAAAAAAAAUUAUCUCUAUGUUACAACAUCCAAGAAAAAUUAUAAAUCAAACAAUCUCAAAUAUGUCAUCACGUAGGUCACAUAAAAAAAAUAUCAAUUUUUCUCACUCAAACAUGACCUCUCAAUCAGUCAAAAUCUAACAAAAAUUUAACUGUCUCAUGAAUUCGACUCAUCUCUAUAGUAAGUCUCACUCACUCACCUCGGCUCUAUAUCUAGCCAGGUAUCCUCUUAACUUAACAUUGUAAAUCGUCUCAAUAAUAAUUAAGCUUUCUUUAUCGGAAGCAUAAACUACAUCAUCUCCUCAAUUUAAUCAGCAUUUCUAUCAAAAACUCAUUCUAUAAAAAAAAAUUCACCCACUAGUUCUAUCAUCAACUUCUAAAAUACUCACAUCUCAAUCUUAAAAAAAAUUUCUCAUCCUUAAUAAGCUAAUGCUAGAAUCUCGACACUCUAAUAGCGAAUCCUCAAAAUAAAUAGUAUGGAAAACUGCGGGGUGUUACAUCCUACCCCCCUUAAAAAAAAUUUCGUCCCGAAAUUUGUGUUACUC
rnacentral:lncRNA from 1 species